rnacentral:rRNA from 1 species
GAACGAGAUCGUUUGGGUUCAAGUCUUCGGACAAGAACCCUUACGUGAGAGUGGCGAAAGGGUGAGUAAUGCAUGGGUAAUUUACCCUCAAGUUGGGAAUACCUCCGCGAAAGUGGGGUUAAUACCGAAUAUGGUCGCACUGCGCAUGCAGUGCUGUCCAAAGGCGGGGAUCUUCGGACCUGCCGCUUGGGGAUGAGCCCGUGUCCUAUCAGCUUGUUGGUGAGGUAACGGCUCACCAAGGCUUACGGGUAGCUGGUCUGAGAGGAUGGUCAGCCACACUGGGACUGAGACACUGCCCAGACUCCUACGGGAGGCUGCAGUCGAGAAUCUUGGACAAUGCGCGAAAGCGUGAUCCAGCGACGCCGCGUGGAGGAUGAAGGCCUUCGGGUUGUAAACUCCUGUUGUCAGGGAACAAUCGCUUUAAUCCGAAUAAGGUUAAGGUCUGAUAGUACCUGACGAGGAAGCCACGGCUAACUCUGUGCCAGCAGCCGCGGUAAUACAGAGGUGGCAAGCGCUGUUCGGAUUUACUGGGCGUACAGGGAGCGUAGGCGGUUGGGUAAGCCCUCCGUGAAAUCUCCGGGCCUAACCCGGAAAGUGCGGAGGGGACUGCUCGGCUAGAGGAUGGGAGAGGAGCGCGGAAUUCCCGGUGUAGCGGUGAAGUGCGUAGAGAUCGGGAGGAAGGCCGGUGGCGAAGGCGGCGCUCUGGAACAUUUCUGACGCUGAGGCUCGAAAGCGUGGGGAGCAAACAGGAUUAGAUACCCUGGUAGUCCACGCCUUAAACGAUGGAUACUAAGUGUCGGC